rnacentral:ncRNA from 1 species
GCGACGAUUGGAACGUUAAUAGAAGAGGCGGACAAACAGCGAUUUGACGAAUGGUGGAAGGUCAAACAAACGCACAACUAUUAUAAAUCAUCCAUGAGCUGCUCUGCUGAAAUUAAGUAAGCUGAGCCGUAGCCACUGCGUUAAAGUGUCGAGUGAGUACAUUUUUAGUCGAGCUAGUGAUAGCCGUGCUAAUAAGGGUGGUACCGCGAGUGAGUCUCGUCCCUUUU